AUAUCUGCUGUCAUUAAUUGCCACAGAAGUUAAACCCUAACCAAUGGAAUGACGUUAAACAACGACUUUGGUGCAGAGUUACCGACUGGAUAAUAUCAAUGCUAAAAUAAUGGCCGUAAUUCACACAUGUUACAGUAGAAGAUACUCUAGAACUGUACAAGGUUAAAAAGGUAACAUGUAGUUUGUCCCAAGGUGUCUGCCUCCUCACCCAGAGCAAGACCUCCACCUCCUCACCCAGAGCCAGACCUCCACCUCCUGUCAGAAGUCCUCCAGAACAGCUGAAAGGCGAGGCUGAGAGGCUGGGGACCGGAAGCUUGUGGUGCCAGGGUGAACCGGAGACUGAGGCUGGAGACCAGAGACCUGCGGCACCGGACCAGAGGACCAGGAAUCCAUGGCUGAAGGAGCUGAUGGAGGAGCCGAGCUGAUGGAGGAGUCGUGCUGAAGGCCCUGCCUUGUGGAGGAGCUGGUGGAGGCCCUGCCUGGUGAAGGACGUCUGUCGUGGGACCAGGACUCUGUCUGUGGAGAGCCGCUGGAGGAGCUGAGACGCUGGAGGACGACUAGGAAUCGACCAACAAGGAUUCCUCAACGUGUUUCUGGAGCGGAGGCGAGCUGGUAGGGGAGCCAUGAAUCUGGAGGAUGACCAUCACUCUACCAACAAGGAUUACUUUAGGGCCAGACCCGCGCUGUUUGUUCAAGACCAGGACUCUGGCUGAGGAGAGCUGAUGGAGGAGCCAAGACUCUGGAGGACGACAUCACUCCGCCAACCAGGAUCCUCAGACGAAUUACGUUUGUAACCAGACCAGGAAUCUGGAGGACUGAUGGAAGUUCAACUCUCAAACCAAUGACACACCGGAGCUGAACCUCACCUGAUCCUGUUUGGUCGGGGGUCGACACACCUGAGCUAAACCCGCCCUGAUCCUGACAUCCUUCUGGUCCCGUCUCCUCAGUUCAUCUGAGCCUCGUCCUCCAGAAGACCUGCUGAGCUCAGCUGUCUGAGGCUGAUGGAUCAAUGACCUCCAGUGGGAGUGAUCUUCUUGACCCCACAUGUAACCGUGUGCUUCCACACGCCUUUUCCUCACAUCUGUCACUAACCUCACUACUUCACUACUCUCUACUACUUCCUCUUUUCUUCCUUCUCUGUGGUUCAAACCUUUACACUGAAGGCGCGUCUUCCUGCCCUCAGAGGGUUUAGUGUUAGGGUUGAGAGUCAGGGUUUAGAGUCAGGGACAGAGCUGGUCAGGGAGGACUGCUUUUACACAAACCUCUUCACUUGCUUUCGGAAUGGUGGUGACAUUUUGAAAAGAUUCAUUUGGGAAAAUGUUUUCCUCUGCUUUCCUUUAAAAAAAAUGUAUUAAACUUUGUACCAUAUAUACCAGACGACUACAUCUGUUUUACCACAUGUUGAAGCCAGAGUUCCACUGUUUGUUCCAGACACGGACUCUGUCUGAGGAGAGCUGCUGGAGGAGCUGAGACGCUGGAGGACGACUAGGAAUCGACCAACAAGGAUUCCUCAACGUGUUUCUGGAGCGGAGGCGAGCUGGUAGGGGAGCCAUGAAUCUGGAGGAUGACCAUCACUCUACCAACAAGGAUUACUUUAGGGCCAGACCCGUGCUGUUUGUUCCAGACCAGGACUCUGGCUGAGGAGAGCUGAUGGAGGAGCCAAGACUCUGGAGGACGACAUCACUCCGCCAACCAGGAUCCUCACACACCUGAGCUGAACCUCACCUGAUCCUGUUUGGUCGGGGGUAGACACACCUGAGCUAAACCCGCCCUGAUCCUGACAUCCUUCUGGUCCCGUCUCCUCAGUUCAUCUGAGCCUCGUCCUCCAGAAGACCUGCUGAGCUCAGCUGUCUGAGGCUGAUGGAUCAAUGACCUCCAGUGGGAGUGAUCUUCUUGACCCCACAUGUAACCGUGUGCUUCCACACACGCCUUUUCCUCACGUCUGUCACUAACCUCACUACUUCACUACUCUCUACUACUUCCUCUUUUCUUCCUUCUCUGUGGUUCAAACCUUUACACUGAAGGCGGGUCUUCCUGCCCUCAGAGGGUUUAGUGUUAGGGUUGAGAGUCAGGGUUUAGAGUCAGGGACAGAGCUGGUCAGGGAGGACUGCUUUUACACAAACCUCUUCACUUGCUUUCGGAAUGUUGGUGACAUUUUGAAAAGAUUCAUUUGGGAAAAUGUUUUCCCUCUGCUUUCCUUUAAAAAAAAUGUAUUAAACUUCUGACAAGUGUUUUUGUUUAUAUAUUAAAAUACCA
ensembl:lncRNA